UUCUCUCACCCAGCCAAGCCUCUCCUAACAGGAAUGGAAACUGAAACCCAACUGUUAGGAGGCUUGGCUGCUGUGGGGGUU
ensembl:miRNA